ACGGUACCUGAAGAAUAAGAUCCGGCUAACUCCGUGCCAGCAGCCGCGGUAAUACGGAGGGAUCUAGCGUUAUUCGGAAUUACUGGGCGUAAAGCGAGCGUAGGCUGAUUUGUAAGUUGGAUGUGAAAUCCCAGAGCUUAACUCUGGAACUGCAUCCAAAACUAUAUUUCUUGAGUUUGGUAGAGGAGAGUGGAAUUCCUAGUGUAGAGGUGAAAUUCGUAGAUAUUAGGAGGAACACCAGUGGCGAAGGCGACUCUCUGGGCCAAUACUGACGCUGAGGUUCGAAAGCGUGGGUAGCGAACAGGAUUAGAUACCCUGGUAGUCCACGCAGUAAACGAUGAAUGCUAGAUGUUGGAAACAUUAGUUUUCAGUAUCGCAGCUAACGCAUUAAGCAUUCCGCCUGGGAAGUACGGCCGCAAGGCUAAAACUCAAAUGAAUUGACGGGGACCCGCACAAGCGGUGGAUCAUGUGGUUUAAUUCGAAGCAACGCGAAGAACCUUACCGGCCCUUGACAUACCAAUCGCGAACUUAAGAGAUUAAGUUUUUCACUUCGGGUGGAUUGGAUACAGGUGCUGCAUGGCUGUCGUCAGCUCGUGUCGUGAGAUGUUGGGUUAAGUCCCGCAACGAGCGCAACCCCUACCUUCAAUUGCCAGCACGUUAUGGUGGGAACUUUGAAGGAACUGCCGGUGAUAAGCCGGAGGAAGGUGGGGAUGACGUCAAGUCCUCAUGGCCCUUACGGGCCGGGCUACACACGUGAUACAAUGGUAACUACAAAGAGCAGCGAUGGAGUGAUCUUCAGCAAAUCUCCAAAAGUUACCUCAGUUCGGAUUGUACUCUGCAACUCGAGUACAUGAAGUUGGAAUCGCUAGUAAUCGUAGAUCAGCGCGCUACGGUGAAUACGUUCCCGGGUCUUGUACACACCGCCCGUCACACCAUGGGAGUUGGUUUUACCUGAAGCUGGUUUGCUAACCGUAAGG
rnacentral:rRNA from 1 species